AUUGAACGCUGGCGGCAGGCUUAACACAUGCAAGUCGAGCGGGGUGAUGGUGCUUGCACUAUCACUUAGCGGCGGACGGGUGAGUAAUACUUAGGAAUCUGCCUAUUAGUGGGGGACAACAUUUCGAAAGGGAUGCUAAUACCGCAUACGCCCUACGGGGGAAAGCAGGGGAUCACUUGUGACCUUGCGCUAAUAGAUGAGCCUAAGUCGGAUUAGCUAGUUGGUGGGGUAAAGGCCUACCAAGGCGACGAUCUGUAGCGGGUCUGAGAGGAUGAGCCGCCACACUGGGACUGGGACACGGCCCCGACUCCUACGGGAGGGAGCCGGGGGGAAAAGUGGGACAAGGGGGGAACCCUGAUCCAGCCAUGCCGCGUGUGUGAAGAAGGCCUUAUGGUUGUAAAGCACUUUAAGCGAGGAGGAGGCUUACCUAGCUAAUAUCUAGGCUAAGUGGACGUUACUCGCAGAAUAAGCACCGGCUAACUCUGUGCCAGCCGCCGCAGUAAGAC
rnacentral:rRNA from 1 species